GCAGAGCGUCUUGGAAUUCUCUAGAAGAUGAGAGAAGUGCAUUACAGAAAAUAAAAUGAAAAAUGAGUCUCGGUAGGUGAGAAAAUAUCUCACCUACAUAUAUACUUAUUACACAUGGACGGGUCGGAUCGGGUGAUCCGGCCCAAAAUUAAAUAAUGGACAUUGGGCUCAGAUACACAAAUCAUCACAGCCCAUUUACAACCUAAUUUCGAAAAUAUACCUACAAUAUACACUAAAUAUACACAAAAUAUACAAGUCUAUAUAAAGCUAAAUCAUGUAGCAUGUCUUAUCUCAACACCCCCCCUCAAGUUGGAGGGGGAAACCACCUGCAACUUGGUGAGCAGCGGAAGAAGUGAAGUGCCAGGCAGAGGUUUAGUAAGCAGGUCGGCCAGCUGACGAGAAGUUGGUACAUGUAGCAGCUUGAGAAAACUAGAAAGGAGCAAAUUCCGAACAAAAUGGCAAUCCACCUCGAUAUGUUUGGUACGUCAUGAAAAACAGGAUUGUUAGCAAUGUGAACAGCAGCCUGACUAUCACAAUAUACAGAAAAAGGAGAAGGAACAGAUACCCCAAGGUCAACCAACAAUCGGCCAGCUGACGAGAGGUUGGUACGUGUAGCAGCUGGAGAAAACCAGAAAUGAGCAAAUCCCGAACAAAAUGGCAAUCCACCUCGAUAUGUUUGGUACGUUCAUGAAAAACAGGAUUGUUAGCAAUGUAAACAGCAGCCUGACUAUCACAAUAUACAGAAAUAGGAGAAGGAACAGAGACCCCAAGGUCAACCAACAAGCGACAAAGCAAAGUCAACUCAACAGCAACCUUGCUAAGGGCCCUAUAUUCUGCCUCAGCAGAGGACAGAGAAACAACAGGUUGUUUCUUUGAUUUCCAACUGAUCAAACAGCCACCCAAAAUCACACAAAAACCAGUAACAGAACGCCUAGUAUCAGGGCAGGCAGCCCAAUCACUAUCAGAAUACCCAGUAACAGAGAAAUCAGCAUGAUCAGAAUAAAACAAGCCCAAGGAGGGAGUACCCUUAAGGUAUCUAAGGACAUGUAGGGCAGCAGUCAUAUGGGGAAGUCUGGGAGAUUUGAGGAAUUGACUCAGAUGCUGGACUGCAAAACAUAUGUCAGGCCUAGUGUGAGUCAGGANNNN
rnacentral:lncRNA from 1 species